rnacentral:rRNA from 1 species
UACGAAGGGGGCUAGCGUUGUUCGGAAUUACUGGGCGUAAAGCGCGUGUAGGCGGGUCUUUUAAGUCAGGGGUGAAAUGCCAAGGCUCAACCUUGGAACUGCCUUUGAUACUGGAGACCUUGAGUCCGGGAGAGGUGAGUGGAAUUGCGAGUGUAGAGGUGAAAUUCGUAGAUAUUCGCAAGAACACCAGUGGCGAAGGCGGCUCACUGGCCCGGAACUGACGCUGAGGCGCGAAAGCGUGGGGAGCAAACAGG